rnacentral:rRNA from 1 species
UGGCUUUGCCAACCGGGGUUGUAGGACGUCUCACACGGAGUUACAAAGGUGACGGAUAGAUGAAGUGGUUCUGGAAAGACCCGCCAAAGAAGGUAACAGCCCUGUAAUCGAAAUCGGUCACCCUCCGAGACGGAUCCUGAGUACCGCGGGACACGUGAAACCCCGUGGGAAGCAGGGAGGACCACCUCCCAAGGCUAAAUACUCCCUGGCGACCGAUAGUGAACCAGUACCGUGAGGGAAAGGUGAAAAGCACCCCGGGAGGGGAGUGAAAGAGAACCUGAAACCGUGUGCUUACAAUCAGUCGGAGUCCUUUUAAAGGGAUGACGGCGUGCCUUUUGUAGAAUGAACCGGCGAGUGACGGUUACGUGCGAGGUUAAGGUGAGAAGCCGGAGCCGCAGCGAAAGCGAGUCUGAACAGGGCGAAUGAGUACGUGGCCGUCGACCCGAAACCGGGUGAUCUACCCAUGUCCAGGGUGAAGUUCCGGUAACACGGAAUGGAGGCCCGAACCUGUUGGUGUUGAAAAACCAUAGGAUGAGGUGUGGGUAGGGGUGAAAUGCCAAUCGAACCCGGAGAUAGCUGGUUCUCCCCGAAAUAGCUUUAGGGCUAGCCUCGGAGAGGAGUCGUGGAGGUAGAGCACUGAUUGGGCUAGGGGCCCCCACAGGGUUACCGAACUCAGUUAAACUCCGAAUGCCACAGACUCGUCCUCCGGGAGUCAGACUACGAGUGCUAAGAUCCGUGGUCAAGAGGGAAACAGCCCAGACCGCCAGCUAAGGUCCCAAAGUAACCGUUAAGUGGCAAAGGAUGUGGAGUUGCCCAGACAACCAGGAUGUUGGCUUAGAAG